AGAGUUUGAUCCCGGCUCAGGAUAAACGCUGGCGGCGUGCUUUAUGCAUGCAAGUCGAACGGUCUUGGUUUUCGGAUCAAGAUAGUGGCGAACGGGUGAGUAACACGUAAGUAACCUACCCUUGAGUAUAGAAUAACUCCGAGAAGUUGGAGCUAAUGCUGUAUGUGGUGGUGAGGGUCAUGCUUCAUCACUAAAGCCGUAAGGCGCUCGAGGAGGGGCUUGCGGCCGAUUAGUUAGUUGGUGGGGUAACGGCCUACCAAGACUAUGAUCGGUAGCUGGUUUGAGAGGACGGUCAGCCACACUGGGACUGAGACACGGCUCAGACUCCUACGGGAGGCAGCAGCAAGGAAUAUUGUGCAAUGGGCGAAAGCCUGACACAGCGACGCCGCGUGGGGGAUGAAAGCCUUCGGGUUGUAAACCCCUUUUAUCAGGGAAGAAUAAUGACGUACCUGAGGAAUAAGUCUCGGCUAACUACGUGCCAGCAGCCGCGGUAAUACGUAGGAGGCGAGCGUUAUCCGGAUUUACUGGGCGUAAAAGGGCGUAGGCGGCUCAGCAAGUCGAGUGUAAAAUCUCCCGGCUCAACCGGGAGCGAUCAUUCGAUACUGCUGGGCUUGAGGACAGUAGGGGGAGGUGGAAUUCCCGGUGUAGUGGUGAAAUACGUAGAUAUCGGGAGGAACACCCGUGGCGAAAGCGGCCUCCUUGGCUGUUUCUGACGCUGAGGCCCGAAAGCGUGGGGAGCAAACAGGAUUAGAUACCCUGUAGUCCACGCCGUAAACAAUGGACACUUGACAUGGGGAGUAUCGACCCUUUCCGUGCCGAAGCUAACGCGUUAAGUGUCCCGCCUGGGGAGUACAGCCGCAAGGCUAAAACUCAAAGGAAUUGACGGGGGCCCGCACAAGCAGCGGAGCGUGUGGUUUAAUUCGAUCAACACGAAGAACCUUACCAAGGCUUGACAUGGCGGAAGUAGCAAACCGAAAGGGGCGUCACCUGUUAAGUCAGGAGCCGUCACAAGUGCUGCAUGGCUGUCGUCAGCUCGUGCCGUGAGGUGUUGGGUUAAGUCCCGCAACGAGUGCAACCCUUAUUGCCAGUUAAAUUCUCUGGCGAGACUGCCCUGCAAAACGGGGAGGAAGGUGGGGAUGACGUCAAGUCAGCAUGGCCCUUAUGCCUUGGGCUACACACACGCUACAAUGGGUGGUACAAUUGGUUGCAAUAGAGCGAUCUGGAGCUAAUCCAUUAAAACCAUCCUCAGUUCGGAUUGCAGGCUGAAACUCGCCUGCAUGAAGUUGGAGUUGCUAGUAAUCGCAGGUCAGCAUACUGCGGUGAAUACGUUCUCGGGCCUUGUACACACCGCCCGUCACGUCAUGAAAGUUGGCAGUACCUGAAGUCGAUGGGCUAACCCGCAAGGGAGGCAGUCGCCUAAGGUGAGGCUGAUGA
rnacentral:rRNA from 1 species